rnacentral:rRNA from 1 species
GUGGGGAAUAUUGGACAAUGGGGGGAACCCUGAUCCAGCCAUGCCGCGUGUGUGAAGAAGGCCUUUUGGUUGUAAAGCACUUUAAGCGAGGAGGAGGCUACCGAGAUUAAUACUCUUGGAUAGUGGACGUUACUCGCAGAAUAAGCACCGGCUAACUCUGUGCCAGCAGCCGCGGUAAUACAGAGGGUGCAAGCGUUAAUCGGAUUUACUGGGCGUAAAGCGCGCGUAGGUGGCCUAUUAAGUCAAAUGUGAAAUACCCGAGCUUAACUUGAGAAUUGCAUUCGAUACUGGUUGGCUAGAGUAUGGGAGAGGAUGGUAGAAAUCCAGGUGUAGCGGUGAUAUACGUAGAGAUCUGGAGGAAUACCGAUGGCGAAGGCAGCCAUCUGGCCUAAUACUGUCACUGAGGUGCGAAAGCAUGGGGAGCAAACAGGAUUAGAAACCCGUGUAGUCC